GACGAACGCUGGCGGCGUGCCUAAUACAUGCAAGUAGAACGCAGUUGCGAACGGGUGAGUAACGCGUCGGUAACUGCCUCAUAGCGGGGGAUAACUAUUGGAAACGAUAGCUAAUACCGCAUACUGUGAGAUGGACCUGCGUUGUAUUAGCUAGUUGGUGAGGUAAAGGCUCACCACGGCGACGAUACAUAGCCGACCUGAGAGGGUGGUCGGCCACACGUGGACUGGAACACGGGCCAAGCUCCUUCGGGAGGCAGCAGGAGGGAAUCUUCGGCAAAUGAGGGAAGUCUGACCGCGGAACGCCGCGUGAGUGAAGAAGGUUUUCGGAGCGUAAAGCUCUGUUGUUAGAGAAGCGGUAACUAAACAGGAAGGGACGGCUAACUACGUGCCAGCAGCCGCGGUAAUAC
rnacentral:rRNA from 1 species